rnacentral:rRNA from 1 species
UACGUAGGGUGCAAGCGUUAAUCGGAAUUACUGGGCGUAAAGCGUGCGCAGGCGGUUUGCUAAGACCGAUGUGAAAUCCCCGGGCUUAACCUGGGAACUGCAUUGGUGACUGGCAAGCUAGAGUGUGGCAGAGGGGGGUAGAAUUCCACGUGUAGCAGUGAAAUGCGUAGAGAUCGGGAGGAACACCAGUGGCGAAGGCGGCCUUCUGGACCAAUACUGACGCUCAUGCACGAAAGCGUGGGGAGCAAACAGG